CAUAAGCCAAUCAUACAGCGCUAUUUCCAUGUGGUGCGGGCUAGCGGUGGAGUGAACUCAACAUGGCUUCUGGCAACGACAGGGGAGCGACCCUGUCCAGAGCAUUACCUAGCCACAACACAACUUUGACAACAACGAGGAUGAGGAUGAUACUGUUCCAUUGGAGAAAAUCAGUCUCGUCACUGGAUUUUUGAGAAAUCAUAGAAGUAUCACCAGACAUGAUGAAGUUUUGGGUCGGGUGGGAACUGCCAACAAGACACGUCAAUGUUGAGGUUGUAACCUCAACUUAUCCAGUGGUUUCUCGCCUGCUUCUUCAAGUUGAAGCUCCCCAGCCACUACCAGACAAGAUUUUUCACCAGGACUUGAUGAUGGCCCUCAGUUCCAUACGUUCUGCCUUUGUACGCUCAAAUGUCAUCAACUUCUUGCCCUCUUUUGAAAUGGAAUCAUUUAAAAUAGCUUCUAUUCCAUUUUCAGGCACCACCUUCACCUGUCGAGAUAGAUAUUUUGGAGUUGGUUUGGUAAUUGUCUUUGGCCUGGGUUUUUCUUCUGUUUUAUAUGUCCACUAGUACUGAAGUUAUUUUCAUAUUCUUAGCUGCUAGAGUAUGUUUGUGAUGUCAUCUGCACCGCUGCAGUGCAAUGAGCUUGGAUCAUAUAAAGAUCAUCUCUUUGUGUUCCUACUCAAUAAAGAGAGAUGUGGCAGCUUUCUUGGCCUCUCUAGUUCAUUAAACUCAGAGACUUCCAUAGA